GAUAGGCGGAAUGGGAACAGUGGAGCCGGUGGGGGUGGGUGUUAUCAAUGUGGUGAGCAAGGGCAUUUGGCGAGAGACUGCAGUCGUGCUAGUAACCGCGGCGGCAGCGGAGGUGGCGGCGGGUGUUUUACUUGCGGUGAAGUUGGCCACUUAGCGAGGGAUUGUCCACGAGGAAACAGUGGUGGAGGUGGAGGCGGCGGUGCCGGGGCUUGCUA
rnacentral:misc_RNA from 1 species